AAGGUGAACCGCUCCAAGUUA
rnacentral:misc_RNA from 1 species